AAUUCAUUCAUUCACAUUCUAUAAAAUUUCCAGAUUCCAUAAUUUGUUAACAGAUUGAAAAUGAAGAUCAUCUUCGUUCUAGUUUUAAUACUGCUUGCCAGUGUUUAUUCACAAGUUUCGAUGCCUCCUGGAUAUAAGGAAAAGUAUCCCAAAUAUUACUACUUAU